CGGAGAUGAUGUUCACCGUGAACUUCCACCAGUCCCCUGCCUUGUCCGCCUUCAGGAUGUGGAUCUGGACGGCUGCAAGGAAGCACAGGUGCCACCCAGCCCUGUCUUUGGGGACAGUCCCCCUUAGAGUCCAGGAAGACACUAUAGGAACUGACCACACCCCCUGAAUUCUGGGCAGAAUCCAGCUGUUCAGGCAAGUGCCCUCCAUGAGCACAGUGCUGGCCACUGGGGGCAGACCAACAUGGGCAGUACCUCCUGGCUAUUUCCAGUGGCCCCACCACCUAACAUCAAGCCUCAUGACACCCCCAGACACACAACCUUGCUCUUAAUCUAAGCUCAGACUGGGGUCGCAGUGCCCAGGGGCCAUGUACCCUGAGCAGCCCUUGAAGGCAGCCACAGCACCUCUUCUGAAGUCCACGGUCCUUGUACUAUCCCCUCCCAUCCCUGCCAGGCCACCCUGUCCUCUGGACCCUCCCCAAGCCCCCAGGCCAUUCCCCUCCCUUUCAGUUCUCUGCUACUAUUUCCCUGAGUAUGGGGGCUCUCUAGCUGAGGCAGGUAUCAGAAUCCCCUUGACAGCUUGUCACACACACGUCGCUGGCCUCGCCCCAAUUUCUGAUUCACCAGGUGUGGAGUGGGGCCCAGGAAGGCACACUUCUGACAAACUCCAGAUGGUGCUGAUCCAGGGAACACAGUUUGAGAAUCAAUGCCCUAGUGAAUGUCAACAGAUGCUAUUUCCACCGGAUAUAAGCUGUUCCUGGGCAUCCUGAACUUUGCACUCCAGUCUGAGGGCUCCAAAGAAUGGCUGCCAUGGCAACCGUUUCCAUGUUUUCGUCACCAAGGGACUCAACACUCAGUGUGAACUCGGAGGAGGGGGUGGGGAGCCCUCCAGCCUGGAGCAGUGGCUGGGCUGUGUGUGUUUGACUGUGCAGACAGAGGUCACCGUGGCAACUGAGUGCCCCUCAGCUAAGCAAAGGAGGGGAGCCGCCCCCAGCAUCCCCGGGAGCCCCAGCUUCCUCUCCUCAGGACUGAGCUGAAUGCAGAAUGAGCCUCCCCCAGGGUGCAGCUGCCGCCUGUGCGGGACCUCAGACCCCUGGCCCAGUCGCGGUGUCCCACCCUGCAGCCAGGGUGGGCUGAGGUGGCUCAACAAGGAUGAUGCCGAAGGCACCCCGGAGAAGGUGGCUUUGCUCAUGUACUGGUGUUACGAGCUGAACUGGGUAUCGCUCCCUGCCGGUAAAUUAAUACACUGAAGUCCUAACCCCCAGUAACUCAGAACGUGGCAGUAUUUGGAGAUAAGGUCUUUUAAGAGUUAGUUAAGAGGAAGUUCGAAGGGUGGGCCCCAACCCAAUAUGACUGGUGUCCUCAGAAGAUGAGGACACAGAGAUCAGGACACAGAAAUGCACGGAGGGAAGACCACGUGGAGACAGAACAAGACGACCGCCUCCAAGCCAGGGAGAGAGCCUCGGGUAACCACUCCCGACAACCCCUUGAGCCGGCACUUCCAACCGGCAAGACUGGGAGAAAGCAAAUUCCUGUUGUUUGAGCCCCUCAGUGGUACUUUGUUCUGGCAGGGCCAGCAAACUCAUAACCACUGGAAUUGAAGACUCA